AGUGAACGCUGGCGAUAGGCCUAACACAUGCAAGUCGAACGGCAGCACAGUAAGAGCUUGCUCUUACGGGUGGCGAGUGGCGGACGGGUGAGGAAUACAUCGGAAUCUACUUUUUCGUGGGGGAUAACGUAGGGAAACUUACGCUAAUACCGCAUACGACCUACGGGUGAAAGCAGGGGAUCUUCGGACCUUGCGCGAUUGAAUGAGCCGAUGUCGGAUUAGCUAGUUGGCGGGGUAAAGGCCCACCAAGGCGACGAUCCGUAGCUGGUCUGAGAGGAUGAUCAGCCACACUGGAACUGAGACACGGUCCAGACUCCUACGGGAGGCAGCAGUGGGGAAUAUUGGACAAUGGGCGCAAGCCUGAUCCAGCCAUACCGCGUGGGUGAAGAAGGCCUUCGGGUUGUAAAGCCCUUUUGCUGGGAAAGAAAAGCAGCAGGUUAAUACCCCGCUGUUCUGACGGUACCCAAAGAAUAAGCACCGGCUAACUUCGUG
rnacentral:rRNA from 1 species